UGCCCUGAGAGAGGAUGCAGUUAUAAAAGUUUACUUUUUGUCAGUAAGAAGUACAGCAGAUUAAUCGGGGAAAUGUAGGUGGACAGCAUGUGAGUGCGUGAACAAAGUAUUACCAUUGCAGAUGGAACACUCUAUCUCAAAAAUCGAUCUUAUUUUCUUUUAGAGAACAGCGGUGGACCUGCAUAUGACCAGCUUAGUGACUUACUGUUGAUCCUGCCUUGGCACUUGCAUUGGAUUAUCACCUAUAUUAACAUUAUUAGCAUUGAAAUGUCUGGAAAAAGUGGCCGUGGUGUUUUGUGGAAGAAGAAAGAUAUUUUAGAUCUGUUGGAAAUUUGGGGAGACCUGAAUAUACAAGAAGAACUUAGGAGCAGUCACCGGAAUAUUGAGACCUAUGAAGAUAUUGCCCGGCAGAUGGCUGCCCGGGGUCACCAGCGCACAGCUGUUCAAUGUCGGUACAAAACAAAUGCAUUGCGACUAGAAUACAAAAAGGUGAUGGAACAUAAUUCCAGGUUAGGGCCUGGUAUUGUAACAUGUCCCUUUUAUAAGGAGCUGCAUCACAUCCUUAUGGGGGAUGCCAGUGUGAAACCAAAGCGUAUUUCUCGAAAGCAUGGUUCCAAGCAUGGCGUCAAGAGUGCGCAUCAGGAAGCAGCAUACAGGGAAGGAAUGUUCAAUGAUGCAUUUGGUAUCCUCUGUUCUGACAGAUGCCUCAUCCCAGAGAACACUGGAGGGAAAAUGGCAACAAGUGAGGAAGAGGGAGAACAUGGAGAUCACAGAUACGGACCAAGAAGGAAGCACAGGAUUCAACCUCAGCCUACUGGGUUCUGACGGCUACCCAUCUGAACCAUCUUCAGUGUCAUCGGUGCAGCCUUAUAAUUAUGAGUGAUCUGCUGACCAAUGUUCCUAUCUAUGAGAGAAAAAAGAAUUCCGCCCAGUUCUUGAGAAUGACCUGAAAACAAUGUUACACCAGUUGGUAGUCUUCAUGUUGGACUACUGUAAUGCACUCUGUGCUGGGCUGCCAAUACAUUUCUGGAGAGGUCAGUCUCCAGUUAGCACUGUAUGUCUGGUGGUGAUUUGGAACCAGACCUUUUCUGUAGCUGCUCCUGGCCUAUGGAAUGCACUCCCAACAGAUAUCCGCAAUUUAGGCUUGCUGUCGGUCUUUAAGAGAGCCAUAAAAACUUACUUGUUUGGCCUGGCCUUCCAAGGUUUGUAAAUUGUUUUUUAAAGUAUUUUAAUUAGUUUUAAACUAGCUGAACGGGCACAGAGCAUAUGCGCCCCUAGUUACCACCUCGUCCUGCCGGCCACUUCCUCAGGCCAGCAUGGCUUCGCCUGCCGCCCGCCUCCUCACACCGAUGGGGCUUUGCUCGCCGGCCGGCCGCCUCCUCACGCCAGCUUCACCUGCCGGCCGGCUGCCUCCCAACGCCUCCUCAGCAUCCAGGCUCCACCACCCGCCCAAAGCCUGGAACUCUCACAAGUGGUGCCGCCACUCCCGUGAGAGUUCCAGCAAGCAUCCCCAACGGCACGUCUAUAUUAACUAUAUAGAUGUUUUUUAAUUGUUUUUAUAUUGUUUUUAGCACUGUGUUUGAAAUGGUGUGUGUUUUUAUGUCUUUUUAAAUUUGUUGUACACCACCCAGAACCUUUGAUGGCGCGGUUUAUAAAUGUAAUAAAUAAAUAAAUACAUA